GCAGUGUCUGUCAUCCCCCCUCCAGAUAUCAACGAAUGCCUGAGCCCAGGCGUGUGUGUCCAUGGGAGGUGUGUCAACAAGGAUGGCUCAUAUGAAUGCAUCUGCAAUGUGGGCUUCGUGGCCGGCCUGGAAAGCAAGAGCUGCCGAGACAAGGACGAAUGCCUGCUCCCAGAAAUCUGCCCCCAGGGCAGUUGCAUCAACCUGGAGGGCUCCUACAGGUGCAGCUGUGACCUGGGGUACCAGCCCAGCCCUGAUGGCAAAGCAUGCCAAGACAUUGAUGAGUGUGCGACACGGAGCGUGUGUCCUGCUGGCAUAUGCAAAAACACGCAAGGCUCCUACCAGUGCACCCACUGUGGACCAGGCUUCACGCCCUCAGCGGAUGGUCUCGUGUGCGAAGACAUUGACGAGUGCCUCACGGACGUCUGCCCGAAUGGGAUCUGCUUGAACUCCGAGGGCUGGUACUCCUGCAUCUCCUGCCCCUCGGGGUACACGGUGUCUGCAGACCGGACGGUGUGUGAAGAUGUCGACGAGUGCCAGGUCCCUGGGACGUGCCCUGCGGGCAUCUGUGUCAACAUAGAGGGCUCGUACUCCUGUGAGGGCUGCGCAGAUGGCUAUGCGGUGUCGGCAGACGGACACAGCUGUGAUGG